CAAAGGUACAAAAAUGCAUGGUGCAAAAUGUUUUUAAAAACAUUAAUUAAUGUAGAUGCAAAUUUUACGGAGAGAAAAAUAUCUUUAUGUUUACAUUCAAGUAUAUAAUUUUCAUUAUAUCACAUCCUGUAUAUUUAGUAAUCUUGGUUUUAGUUAUAAGCUAUUGGACUGAAAGAAAAAAAAUUCGAGAAGUUAAAGUUAUUUUAUUUUAGCUUUUAUUUAUUUAUUUAUUUGUCCGAAGUCAAUCAGGGGGAAAUGGUUAUUGAUGGAGCCUAUAAAUAUAAUUACAUAGGUAAAACUGAGUUUUAUUUUUCUCUGCCUAUUGACGCUUUGCCCAAAACAGUCGUUCAAAGCAAUUGCAAAAAACAUGGGUUAAAUACUUCAGAUAAUGAACCUUCCAACACCACUGCUCUGGAUAAUAACCUCAAUUUUUCUUAUCAAAUUGAUAAUAAAAUUAGUGAAUUUGAAGCUUUAUCUGAUAAAGAUUCAGAUAAAAGUGAUAAGAAUAAUGUAAUAGAUGAACUAGAGCGUGAUUUAACAUUUUAAUCUUCUCAGCAUAAUAUCACUCAAUAAUUCACUGACUUAAUUUGCUGAUCUAUGACCAGAGCUGCUUAGAUGUUAAUGCAUCCUAAAAUUUUAUUUAAAUUUGUGUAUUUAAAUAAAAUUCAUUAUAUAUAUGUAUUUUUUAUGCUAUAUUUUAUAUGAUCUCAUCAUCAUUGUCAUCAUCCUUUAUUUUCCUUUAUUCUAUACAUUUAUUCAACCUUAAUUAUAUUUCUUUAUAAUUUCUUUAUUUUUAAUUUGGCGUUGAGUAAAACAAGUACUUCACUAAGUUUUAAUUAUUAUUUUUUGACUAAAGUAUACACUUAUUAACUUUUUUUAACGUUAAUGUUUAGCCUUAAAUUAUUAUUUUUACUGAACAUAAUGUUUAGCCUUAAAUUAUUAUUUUUAAUGAACAUCAAGAAUGAAAAAAGUCUUGUCUGCAGAUACCUGUCUCUGUAUUAAACAAAAGUAAAACAAGAUUGGAAAAAGUGAUCAUAAUUACCUCUGUGAUUAAGGUGAAGGGAGUAGCAGCAAAAAGGCAAGUAGCAAAAAAAUUGAAUUGGACAGGGCAAGGUGAUCUUCAAAAAAAGUCUUUCUGAAUUCUUAUAUUUCGUCAAGUUAUUGAAAAAGCAAUACGAAGAAAUUUGCUGACAAAAGAUACCACAUACAGCGAAAUUUAAAAGGCAGUUGUGGCUUUUUUUUCCGGAGCUCUAGACAGAAAUAGAAGCAGAAAAGAAAAAGCAGAAAAAAAGUCCAUCCAAAAAAUCAGUUCAACAAAAAAUCGUGGCUAUACUGCCCAAUCAUUGACAUUGAAACCUUUAUCUGGAUUAUCAUUACCACGAUUUGAACGCUUUAUUUUUGAUGACAAAGUAUAAUGUUCUCAAAGUCUUGCAUGAUCUGUUUUAUAUGUUAUGUUUUAUAUUAAUUGUAUAUUUGACAUUAUUAUAAGCUUUACAAGUAUUUAUAUUAUUAAUGAUAAAUUUAAUGCAUUUAUUUUUUAUAUAUUUUUAAUGCAAAUUUAUUAA